GUGGGGAAUAUUGCACAAUGGGGGAAACCCUGAUGCAGCGACGCCGCGUGAGUGAAGAAGUAUUUCGGUAUGUAAAGCUCUAUCAGCAGGGAAGAAAAUGACGGUACCUGACUAAGAAGCCCCGGCUAACUACGUGCCAGCAGCCGCGGUAAUACGUAGGGGGCAAGCGUUAUCCGGAUUUACUGGGUGUAAAGGGAGCGUAGACGGCUGAGCAAGUCAGAAGUGAAAGCCCGGGGCUCAACCCCGGGACUGCUUUUGAAACUGUCCGGCUCGAGUGCAGGAGAGGUAAGCGGAAUUCCUAGUGUAGCGGUGAAAUGCGUAGAUAUUAGGAGGAACACCAGUGGCGAAGGCGGCUUUCUGGACUGAAACUGACGCUGAGGCGCGAAAGCGUGGGGAGCAAACAGG
rnacentral:rRNA from 1 species